rnacentral:misc_RNA from 1 species
UGUAGGAGCGGGCUUGCUCGCGAUGCAGACGCCACAGUCUGCCGGGAAAACCAGGUGAUGUCAUCGCGAGCAAGCCCGCUCCCACA